GAUGAACGCUGGCGGCGUGCCUAAUACAUGCAAGUCGAGCGAACGGACGAGACGCUUGCUUCUCUCAUGUUAGCGGCGGACGGGUGAGUAACACGUGUAUCACCCACCUAUCAGACUGGGAUCAUUUCGGGAAACCGUAGCUAAUACCGUAUAAUAUUUUGAACCGCAUUGUUCAAAAGUGAAAUUCGGUCUUUCUGUCUCUUCUAGAUGGAUCCGCGCUGGAUUAGCUAGUUGGGAAGUUACCGGCUUACCAAGGCAACGAUGCAUGGACGACGUGACGGGGUGAUCGGCGGCACUGGAGCUGAGCCACGGUCAAGGCUCCUGAGGGACGCAGCAGUAGGGAAUCGGCCGCAGUGGGCGAGAGCAUUGCAGAGCAGCGCCACGUGAGAGAUGAAGGUCUUCGGAUCGUGAAGCUCUGUUAUUAGGGAAGAACAUAUGUGUACGUAGCUGUGCACAGCUUGACGGUACCUAAUAAAGAAGCAACGGCUAACUACGUG
rnacentral:rRNA from 1 species